GACGAACGCUGGCGGCGUGCCUAAUACAUGCAAGUUGAGCGAUGAAGAUUGGUGCUUGCACCAAUUUGAAGAGCAGCGAACGGGUGAGUAACGCGUGGGGAAUCUGCCUUUGAGCAGGGGACAACAUUUGGAAACGAAUGCUAAUACCGCAUAACAACUUUAAACAUAAGUUUUAAGUUUGAAAGAUGCAAUUGCAUCACUCAAAGAUGAUCCCGCGUUGUAUUAGCUAGUUGGUGAGGUAAAGGCUCACCAAGGCGAUGAUACAUAGCCGACCUGAGAGGGUGAUCGGCCACAUUGGGACUGAGACACGGCCCAAACUCCUACGGGAGGCAGCAGUAGGGAAUCUUCGGCAAUGGACGAAAGUCUGACCGAGCAACGCCGCGUGAGUGAAGAAGGUUUUCGGAUCGUAAAACUCUGUUGGUAGAGAAGAACGUUGGUGAGAGUGGAAAGCUCAUCAAGUGACGGUAACUACCCAGAAAGGGACGGCUAACUACGUG
rnacentral:rRNA from 1 species